UCAAACAGGCAUUUGGUUGACGAAAGU
rnacentral:piRNA from 1 species